AUAGUUACCUGGCAGGGGAAAUACCAUGAUCCUGCAGGUGGUUUUCCCAGGGCGAGGCUCAUCCAUUGCACUUGGGAUGUGCUGACUUCUGCAAUUUCCCAAAAUAUGGGAAAAUCGACUGCAUAAUUUGUGGUAGUCGGGUACUGUGUUCACGCUCUCCUCUG